rnacentral:rRNA from 1 species
CGCGUAGGCGGUGCAGAUAGUCAGAUGUGAAAUUCCUGGGCUUAACCUGGGGGCUGCAUUUGAUACGUCUGUGCUUGAGUGUGGAAGAGGGUCGUGGAAUUCCCAGUGUAGAGGUGAAAUUCGUAGAUAUUGGGAAGAACACCGGUGGCGAAGGCGGCGACCUGGUCCAUAACUGACGCUGAGGCGCGAAAGCGUGGGGAGCAAACAGGAUUAGAUACCCUGGUAGUCCACGCUGUAAACGAUGUGUGCUGGAUGUUGGGCAGCCUAGCUGUUCAGUGUCGUAGCUAACGCGAUAAGCACACCGCCGUGGGGAGUACGGCCGCAAGGUUGAA